rnacentral:rRNA from 1 species
GCCGAACGCUGGCGGCGUGCCUAAUACAUGCAAGUAGGACGCAGUUGCGAACGGGUGAGUAACGCGUAGGUAACUACCUAUUAGAGGGGGGUAACUAUUGGAAACGAUAGCUCAUACCGCAUACUAGUAGAUGGACCUGCGUUGUAUUAGCUAGUAGGUAGGGUAAUGGCCUACCUAGGCAACGAUACAUAGCCUACCUUGGAGGGUGAUCGGCCACAAUGGGACUGAGAACCGGCCCAGACUCCUACGGGAGGGAGCAGUAGGGAAUCUUCGGAAAUGGGGGGAACCCUGACCGAGCAACGCCGCGUGAGUGAAGAAGGUUUUCGGAUCGUAAAGCUCUGUUGUUAAGGAAGCGGUACUUAACCAGAAAGGGACGGCUAACUACGUGCCAGCAGCCGCGGUAAUUC